rnacentral:rRNA from 1 species
AUACGAGGGGUCCAAGCGUUGCUCGGAAUCAUUGGGCGUAAAGCGGGUGUAGGCGGCUUUGAAAGUCAGAAGUGAAAGCCCUGGGCUUAACCCAGGAAGUGCUUUUGAUACUGCAAAGCUUGAGUGUAGGAGAGGAUAGUGGAAUUCCAGGUGUAGUGGUGAAAUACGUAGAUAUCUGGAGGAACAUCGGCGGCGAAGGCGGCCACCUGGACGAUGACUGACGCUCAGACCCGAAAGCGUGCGGAGCAAACAGGAUUAGAUACCCCGGUAGUCC